AAGAAAUUAGUUUAGAAAAAACAUUAACUUGUCAAGAUAAAAACGUAUAUAAUUAAAAUAUAUUUCUUA
rnacentral:tRNA from 1 species